GAAGCAAUUUAGAUCGAAAUUUAACCUAUAUUUUUUUGGGUAACUCUUUUACCUUUUUUUUUACUCUUUUAGAUAUAACUUUGGGCAAGUCAAGACGAUCAGCGACUGCCAACAACAAAUAUGCUUAGCCAAAGACAAGAGAUUUUAAAAAUUCCAUAAAAAUGGCCAUACAAUAGCCAUAUUGCUAUUGGCUUUGUGUUUGCGUUGAGUUGGGCAUUGAGAUUGCUUUCAGAUUCUACAACUGUCUGAAAUGCCGUCUGCUCUAUGAUUUUGCUGUGCCGACGCUGCGCUAAUUUGUUGGCAUUGGCCAACAUAGAAGGAGAGACUGGGGUCUGGGCAGGAAAUGCAGGCGCAAAAGCUGCCGACGACGAUGUCUGGGUAGAGUCGCAGAUUCUUGGCAAUUUCUGUUUGAUUUAUUAGCCAUCAUUACACACAUUCAAUAUGCUAUCUGCAAUCAAAAUCAAUACAUCUUUACUCCAUCGUCCAUUUAUACAGAUACAGAUACAUAGAGAUAUGUAUGUAUCAGUUGAGCAUUUUCUUUAGUACUUCCGGCUCAGGUGUUUGUCGACGGAAGAGGAAAAUGUCCGGCAGCCGAAAAACAAACAUUUUCCGCUUUAAAAAAAUAACUGGAACGGGCCAAACAAUUCUGCGACUUGGCCGUACAUAAAUAACAGCCAAAAAUAGAGUAACAACUGUCUGUGUCUGUAUCUGAAUCUAACUAUGUCUGGGUGCAGAGAUUUAUGGCCAAAUGCAUUUGAUGCCCAUUUCUGGAUGCGUCUUUAAAACGCAAUAAAUAUUAAAGUCAUUGGCUCUGCGUGCCGUUUAUUUUGGCGAAAUACGAGGUACGAUGAAAGAGCUACCAACCAGAAGCUGGAUAGCUCGAUGGUGGAUGUAGUACAAUAUCACAUGGAAAAUGUGGAACAGUCAACGAACGGCAUGCAAGACAAAGUCUCUCCUGCUGUCUCCCACUCCCUCUCUCUCUUCUUUUGUUGUGGGCUGAUAAUAUUCAUUGCACAAUUAUGCCUUGCCUUUUUAGUUAAUUUAUGCAGUGUCUGCACGUCAGUCAGGUGAAAGAUAUCUAUAUAUACUAGCAGAUGGCGGCCCACGCCAAAUUAUUUGCUAUUUAGCCAGCCAACAACAAAAACAACACUGGGGCCCAGUUAGCUGAUCGGAAACUGGGUCGAACGGCAGCCGAAAUGGCUUAAGCUGAUUUCCUGCCAAGCGAAUUUCACUUUGUUUGCAUUUUAAUAAACAUUAUCGAGAGCCUGCAGAUGAAC